AGACUGAGAGGAGGAGCCAAUAAAGAGGCUGAGAAAGAGAUGACUGACAGCAAGGACAGGGCAGAUACAGCGGGAGAUUGAGCUGGGCCACCAGUGUGGGUUGGCCUUGAGCUGGUAAGGGACAUUGAGACUUCUAGAGUGAAGGAAAAGAAAGUAAAAACCAAUGAAUAUAGAUAUGUUUACAGAGAAAUUGAGCGAGACCUCCCUGAUGACCUCAAUUUUUCCACUGAUGUAAAGGCAAGGUCAUCUGCUGAGAAUGAAAUCAGCAGUUGUUUGGAGAAAGGACUUGGGAGUGUGGCCCGUGGGCCAGCAGCAGCAGCAUCACCUAAGAGUUUCCUAGAAAUACAGAGUCUCAGGCCCCAGCCCAGACCUGCUGAAUCGACAUGCACAUUUAAACGGAUCCCCAGGUGAUUCUCAGCACCUUAAAGUUUGAGAAGCAUUGUUCUACUUCAUCCCCAAGGGUGGUCAAAUAGUCAACGUUUUCUUGAAACCUUUCAUUGACCGAAGGUCUUUGGAGUCCCUGACCACCUAGGAAAUAUAACUCCUUGGUCUUGGAUUUCUCGGCCUGGUCCUCAGAAAUGGUGCUGGACAAAGCUGUGAAGCCUAACCGAAACUGCUGGAACCUCUAUUUGAAGCUUCCUUACUCCGUCCAGUGGCAGUGGCUCUAACAGUCUCUCUGUGCAUCAUGGUGUGAGAUUCGUGUGCCCAGUAGAUUGACUCACAUACUCAUUACCAAGAGAUGUUGUUUUAUCUGAAAGAGAAAUAAAGAAAAUGACCCCAUUCACAACAGCACCAAAAAUAAUAAAAUACUUAGGAAUAAAUUUAACC
rnacentral:lncRNA from 1 species